UAAAAACUGAGUCCAGGCAUCUUCGAGCGGUUCUUGUGGGAAAAAACCUUGAUAUUACUUAGAGUGAGGCCUCCUAGUAGUUAUCUGGGAAUUUUCGGGACGUUUCUCACAUGGUUAAAAAUCGGCAGAUUUUCGGUAUGGUAAAGCCUUGGCCAUUUUUGGACCGUUUUUGGCGCAACCGUUGUGCACCCCGAACGAGCCCCACCCGACCCCUAGGCCCUGGGCUUUUUUUCUGUGUCAUACUGGGUGCAAUAUAGAUGGGUUUCCACACCUAUCCGCGGGCUAUCAUCGGCCUAAAUAGGUUGCACAAGAUCAAAGAAGCACAACUAGUCCAUGGGAAGAAAAGCAUUGGGACGAAAAUAAAAACUGAGUCCGGGCAUCUUCGAGCGGUUCUUGUGGCAAAAAAACCUUGAUAUUACUCAGAGUGAAGCCUCCUAGUAGUUAUCUGUGAAUUUUCGGGACGGUUCUCACAUGGUUAAAAAUCGGCCGAUUUUCGAGUAUAGUAAAGCCUUGGCCAUUUUUGGACCGUUUUUUGCGCAACCGUUGUGCACCCCGAACGAGCCCUAGGCCCUGGGCUUUUUUUAUGUGUCAUACUGGGUGCAAUAUAGAUGGGUUUCCACACCUAUCCGCGGGCUAUCAUCGGCCUAAAUAGGUUGCACAAGAUCGAAGAAGCACAACUAGUCCAUGGGAAGAAAAGCAUUGGGACGAAAAUAAAAACUGAGUCGGGCAUUUUCCGAGCGGUUCUUUGUGGAAAAACCUUGAUAUUACUCAGAGUGAGGCCUCCUAGUAGUUAUCUGUGAAUUUUCGGGACGGUUCUCACAUGGUUAAAAAUCGGCCGAUUUUCGGUAUGGUAAAGCCUUGGCCAUUUUUGGACCGUUUUUUGCGCAACCAUUGUGCACCCAGAACGAGCCCCACCCGACCCCUAGGCCCUGGGCUUUUUUUAUGUGUCAUACUGGGUGCAAUAUAGAUGGGUUUCCACACCUAUCCGCGGGCUAUCAUCGGCCUAAAUAGGUUGCACAAGAUCGAAGAAGCAAAACUAGUCCAUGGGAAGAAAAGCAUUGGGACGAAAAUAAAAACUGAGUCUGGGCAUCUCCGAGCGGUUCUUGUGGGAGAAAACUUGAUAUACUCAGAGUGAGGCCUCCUAGUAGUUAUCUGUGAAUUUUCGGGACGUUUCUCACAUGGUUAAAAAUCGGCCGAUUUUCGGUAUGGUAAAGCCUUGGCCAUUUUUGGACCGUUUUUUGGCGCAACCUUGUGCACCCCGAACGAGCCCCACCCGACCCCUAGGCCUGGGCUUUUUUUAUGUGUCAUACUGGUGCAAUAUAGAUGGGUUUCCACACCUAUCCGCGGGCUAUCAUCGGCCUAAAUAGGUUGCACAAGAUCGAAGAAGCACAACUAGUCCAUGGGAAGAAAAGCAUUGGGACGAAAAUAAAAACUGAGUCCGGGCAUUUUCGAGCGGUUCGUGUGGGAAAAAACCUUGAUAUUACUCAGAGUGAGGCCUCCUAGUAGUUAUAUGUGAAUUUUCGGGACGGUUCUCACAUGGUUAAAAAUCGGCCGAUUUUCGGUAUGGUAAAGCCUUGGCCAUUUUUGGACCGUUUUUUGCGCAACCGUUGUGCACCCCGAACGAGCCCCACCCGACCCCUAGGCCCUGGGCUUUUUUAUGUGUCAUAAUGGGUGCAAUAUAGAUGGGUUUCCACACCUAUCCGCGGGCUAUCAUCGGCCUAAAUAGGUUGCACAAGAUCAAAGAAACAAAACUAGUCCAUGGGAAGAAAAGCAUUGGGACGAAAAUAAAAACUGAGUCUGGGCAUCUCCGAGCGGUUCUUGUGGGAGAAAACUUUAAUAUUACUCAGAGUGAGGCCUCCUAGUAGUUAUCUGUGAAUUUUCGGGACGUUUCUCACAUGGUUAAAAAUCGGCCGAUUUUCGGUAUGGUAAAGCCUUGGCCAUUUUUGACCGUUUUUUUGCGCGAACCGUUGUGCACCCCGAACGAGCCUCACCCGACCCCUAGGCCCUGGGCUUUUUUUAUGUGUCAUACUGGGUGCAAUAUAGAUGGGUUUCCACACCUAUCCGCGGGCUAUCAUCGGCGUUAAAAAUAGGUUGCACAAGAUCAAAGAAACACAACUAGUCCAUGGGAAGAAAAGUAUUGGGACGAAAAUAAAAACUCAGUCUGGGCAUCUCCGAGCGGUUCUUGUGGGAGAAAACUUUAAUAUUGCUCAGAAUGAGGCCUCCUAGUAGUUAUGUGUGAAUUUUCGAGACGUUUCUCACAUGGUUAAAAAUCGGCCGAUUUUCGGUAUGGUAAAGCCUUGGCCAUUUUUGGACCGUUUUUUGGCGCAACCGUUGUGCACCCGAACGAGCCCCACCCGACCCCUAGGCCCUGGGCUUUUUUU
rnacentral:lncRNA from 1 species